rnacentral:rRNA from 1 species
UAUUUAUAUAGGUAGUAAUGUAAAUGAAAUUUUAAAAUUUUAAUAAGUAAAAUAGAUUUUUGUACCUUUUGUAUCAGGGUUGAUUUAAAAAUUUUUAAUUAAUUAAGUAUCUCGAAAUUAAAAGAGCUAAAUGUAUAAAAUUUUUUUUGUAGAAUAAAAAUUAUAAAUAUAUAUUUAGAGAUUAAAUGUUAUUCAAUUUUAAUGAUAUCUAGUUUUUUUUGAAUUAAAUUUAAUUUAGAUAUUUUUUAAAAUAAAAUUUAAUAAAAAAAUUUUAUUUAUAAAAAUAUAAAUAAUUUAUGGGAUAAUCUAUAAAUUAAUUGUAUAAUAAAUUUAAUUUAUAAUUUAGAAAAUUAAUUUUAAAAUUUAAAAUAUUUAAUAAAUAUUUAAUAAUUUAUUAAUAAAAAUAAUUAAUAUAAAAUAUAAAAUUUAUAAUUAUAUAAAAAUUAAAAAAAAAAUAAUUUUAAUAAAAUUAAUUAUGUUAAAAUGAUUAAAUUAGUAAUUUAAAUUGUAUAAAUUAUUUUAUAAAUAGAAAUAUUUUUAAGUAAUUAGGCAAAAUUAUUAUAUUCACCUGUUUAACAAAAACAUGUCUUUUUGAAUUUAAUUUAAAGUCAGUUCUGCUCAAUGAGGAAUUAAAUAGCUGCAGUAUUUUGACUGUACGAAGGUAGCAUAAUCAUUUGCCUUUUAAUUGAAGGCUAGAAUGAAUGGAUUAAUGAAAUAUAAACUGUCUCAAUAAUAUGAAAUAAAUUUAAAUUUUAAGUUAAAAUGCUUAAUUUAGUUUAAGGGACGAUAAGACCCUAUAGAAUUUUAUAUAUUAUAAUUUAAUUAAAUUAGAAAUAUAUUUGAUUGGGAGGAUUUUUGAAUUUAAUUAACUUUAAAUUUUUAAAAUAUUGAUUAAUAGAAUUAAAUGAAAUAUUUAUAAUAAUGUUAGAAUAAAUUACCUUAGGGAUAACAGCGUAAUAUUUUUGGAAAGAUCAAAUUGAAUAAAAUGUUUGCGACCUCGAUGUUGAAUUAAAAUAAAUUAUAAAUGUAGAUGUUUAUAAAUUUAGUCUGUUCGACUAUUAAAAUUUUACAUGAUUUGAGUUCAGAUCGACGUGAGUCAGAUUGGUUUCUAUCUUUAAAAAAAUUUGAAGUUUUUGUACGAAAGGACUAAAUUUUAUAAAUAAUUUUUAUAAAAAAUAAUAAAUAA